GAUGAACGCUGGCGGCGUGCUUAACACAUGCAAGUCGAACGGAAAGGCUCCUGCUUGCAGGGGUACUCGAGUGGCGAACGGGUGAGUAACACGUGGGUGAUCUGCCCUGCACUUCGGGAUAAGCCUGGGAAACUGGGUCUAAUAUCGGAUAGGACGAUGGUUUGGAUGCCAUUGUGGAAAGUGUUUCGGUGUGGGAUGAGCUCGCGGCCUAGCAGCUUGUUGGUGGGGUAAUGGCCUACGAAGGCGUCGACGGGUAGCCGGCCUGAGAGGGUGUACGGCCACAUUGGGACUGAGAUACGGCGCAGACUCCUACGGGAGGCAGCAGUGGGGAGUAUUGCACAAUGGGCGCAAGCCUGAUGCGGCGGCGCCGCGUGGGGAAUGACGGCCUUCGGGUUGUAAACUCCUUUCGCUAGGGACGAAGCGCAAGUGACGGUACCUGGAGAAGAAGCACCGGCUAACUACGUG
rnacentral:rRNA from 1 species